UACGUAGGGGCCAAGCGUUGUCCGGAUUUAUUGGGCGUAAAGAGCUCGUAGGCGGUUGGGUAAGUCGGGUGUGAAAACUCCAGGCUCAACUUGGAGACGCCACCCGAUACUGCUCUGACUUGAGUUCGGUAGGGGAGUGGGGAAUUCCUGGUGUAGCGGUGAAAUGCGCAGAUAUCAGGAGGAACACCGGUGGCGAAGGCGCCACUCUGGGCCGAAACUGACGCUGGGGAGCGAAAGCGUGGGUAGCAAACAGG
rnacentral:rRNA from 1 species